rnacentral:rRNA from 1 species
UACGAAGGGGGCUAGCGUUGCUCGGAAUCACUGGGCGUAAAGCGCACGUAGGCGGCUUUUUAAGUCAGGGGUGAAAUCCUGGAGCUCAACUCCAGAACUGCCUUUGAUACUGAGAGCUUGAGUCCGGGAGAGGUGAGUGGAACUGCGAGUGUAGAGGUGAAAUUCGUAGAUAUUCGCAAGAACACCAGUGGCGAAGGCGGCUCACUGGCCCGGUACUGACGCUGAGGUGCGAAAGCGUGGGAGACAGCA